CAAACGGCUCUUUUCAGAGCCACCCACACUGAUAAAGAGCGGUUU
rfam:Takifugu rubripes genomic scaffold, scaffold_8224